UUGAAUGAAUUUAGAGUUGGUUGUUGCUGGCCUCCCUUCCCGAGGCAUGUGCACACCUUCUCUUUCAUCCACACACACCUGUGCACUUGUGAGAUGUGGAGGGCUGAAAUUUUUAUUCUCAACCCUUCCAUCUGCUAUUACACAAACUCAAUUUAAUUUAAACUGAAUGUAAUGCAUCUAAUAUAC
rnacentral:misc_RNA from 1 species